rnacentral:rRNA from 1 species
AUUGAACGCUGGCGGCAUGCUUUACACAUGCAAGUCGAACGGCAGCGCGGGCUUCGGCCUGGCGGCGAGUGGCGAACGGGUGAGUAAUGCAUCGGAACGUGCCCAGUAGUGGGGGAUAGCCCGGCGAAAGCCGGAUUAAUACCGCAUACGACCUGAGGGUGAAAGUGGGGGACCGAAAGGCCUCGCGCUAUUGGAGCGGCCGAUGUCGGAUUAGCUAGUUGGUGGGGUAAAGGCUUACCAAGGCGACGAUCCGUAGCUGGUCUGAGAGGACGACCAGCCAAAAUGGGACUGGGGCACGGGCCAGACUCCUAAGGGAGGCAGCAGGUGGGAAUUUUUGACAAUGGGGGGAAACCUGAUCCAGGCAUGGCGCGGGCGGGAAGAAGGCCUUCGGGUUGGAAACCGGUUUUGUUCGGGAAGAAAAUCUCUUGGCUAAAUCCCCGGGGGGAUGACGGUACCGGAAGAAUAAGCACCGGCUAACUACGUG